GUGAGUAAUGAUUUUCAAAUAUUACUUUUAUUUCCGCUGUGCAGAACACGGCAAACAAGCAUUAACAAGUUGUUAUGCCUUUUGGUCAAAAGUCAGUAGUUAGUGCAUAAUCUGAUUAAGUUACGUAAGCAAGGUGAUAAAUAAGUUCAAAGUUAAGAAAUAUUAUGUGAUUCAUGCUAAAAACAGUUAAAAUGUGUGGGUUUGAAAUUUGCUCAGAGUGAGACAUCGUUAUCACAAGCGAUCUUUGUAUUGUACGUGCGGAAAUGGGAGCGAGGGAGCGCUCUGAUCAUUAACCUAUCUUUGACGUUUUUUCUCCGUGAACGCUGUGAGAAGUGCUUCGGCAGUAUUAAAACAGUGAAUAAGUUUAUGUACACGCUAUAAGUGCCCUACACGCUUGUACCUUGGGAAACGUUCGUCUUUGAGUAUUAAUGUGUUCAGAAAAUACAACAUCAUCUUCCUGUUCGUCUGUUUUUGUUUUGUUUUUUGUUUUUCCCUCUCUAUGCUUGAUUACAGGCUGCUUUGCCGGCCCUGAAAGCCGAAGCUGACCUGGACUCCUGCUCUCCCCUCUACCAUCUCUGACCCUGACCAAAUGCUGCAGCAGCUGGACCCAUAACAACAAUCUAAAAAUGUCAACAGUGCUACAGGAAAGCGAUCUCAUGCAGCAGAGAUGGAGAGCGUUAAAUCCAAGGCCCGUUUCACUACACGGGGGAGAUUUCCAGACAGCUUCAGCUGACAGACCUGUGACGAGACGCCCAUUAAGCCCGAAUGAAAAGUAAGGCCGAGCAAAAGAAUGCUGACCUUGAUAACUUUGCAUUUAACACUGUGCAGGACAGUGAUGGACCAACACGGAUGAUCGGGCAGCAGAAGAAAGGGCGUGCCAGAGACAGGAGGAGCAACUGAGGUCAAAAGGCACCUCAGAAUGGACAAAACACAGAAGAAGAAAGGACUGCCCCAAUUGGGGCCAAAACCAGGACAGACUGAACUUUGAGCAGCAGCAGCAGCAGCAAUGGUCGCAACCGGACUGAAAAGGAGGAGGGCAGGACCCCAGGGCACGCUUCAGGCCGUGGUUUACCCAAAACACCAGAACAGGAAAGUGAUAAACACGCAAACAUACACAUCUACACACACUGACUCAAAAUGAAGAGAAACACACACCUGAACAGACGUGCACUUGUUGAUUGAGUGAGAAAUGACACACACACACACAUCAGACAAUGUACACUCAUCAAACAUGACUGAUGCCCUGAACGCCUUGAGACAGAUCCAGCAGGCCCAAAAUCAGGCCUAUGUAAAUAAUACAAGUGACUGCUAAAAAGACUACUACUGCCUUUUCACUGUGCAAUACUUUUUGUUAAAAACCAACGGUGCAAUAGACUUCAAUACUUGAAAUACUUGAAAUACUUGAAAUACUUGCAGUUCCUUUGUAUUCUUAUUCUUAUUUAUUCUAUUUAUCCCUUUUUGUAUUUUUACUUUUAUUUUGUGUUUUUGUAACAUGUAUCCUGCCAUGUCUAAAACUCAUGAUUAACCGUAUAAUUGUUUCCACUGUUGCUGCAUACAUAGCCGUGACAAAUGAUGAUGAUGACCCCGACCUGUUGGAACAUGAAGACUUUGUGUGAUUAAUGAUGAUGUGACAGAAAAUGUACAACAAGAUGUUACAUACUGAUAUCUCACUUCAAAGUUAUACUGACAACAGGAGGGAAUGUCAAUAGAAAAUUGUACUUGGUAGUCAGUAUAAGCCUUUAAUGAUAUAAGUUUGCAUAUGAUAGAAUACUGUAUGUUGACCUUUUGAUGACUUAGACUGUUGUCCACUACAGGACUGUUUUAUAAAUUCUUUCUCACAGCUGAAUAAGCUGUUAUUAUUUCACUCCUGCCAGGAAGAGGAGAGCUGGACACUCUUAUCUGACACUCCCUAACAAGAAGAGAGGCCGCGUCUUUCUGUAUCCCACAACACACAUGCAUACACCUAAACCGCUCUUAUCUUCACUCCCUACACACUAACUUUCCUCUACCUAUGAAUAGACGUAUUCACUGUUGUAUUAUUUUUGCAUAUAAAUAAAGACAAGUGCAAGAACAGAGCGCUGAUCACAGGGCCCCCACUCUGUUGUGAGCGUUCUGUGACCGCCCUUGCAAGUAAAGAUCUACAGAUCCAGAACUGAUUCCUGACGGCGUGGGAAGCCAGCACCGAAGUCUGUGCACAGCCCUCUUAGACGAGGCCGAAAGCCCUGGGACGUUUAAAUUCGGGUCCAGGCCGGUGUUUUUAGUCUGGUCCACGGUGGUGGGAUUCAGUCUGGCGAUCCGAAUCACCAGUGAGACGUCUGAGGGCUGCUUUGCCGGCCCUGAAAGCCGAAGCUGACCUGGACUCCUGCUCUCCCCUCUACCAUCUCUGACCCUGACCAAAUGCUGCAGCAGCUGGACCCAUAACAACAAUCUAAAAAUGUCAACAGUGCUACAGGAAAGCGAUCUCAUGCAGCAGAGACGGAGAACGUUAAAUCCAAGGCCCGUUUCACUACACGGGGGAGAUUUCCAGACAGCUUCAGCUGACAGACCUGUGACGAGACGCCCAUUAAGCCCGAAUGAAAAGUAAGGCCGAGCAAAAGAAUGCUGACCUUGAUAACUUUGCAUUAACACUGUGCAGGACAGUGAUGGACCAACACGGAUGAUCGGGCAGCAGAAGAAAGGGCGUGCCAGAGACAGGAGGAGCAACUGAGGUCAAAAGGCACCUCAGAAUGGACAAAACACAGAAGAAGAAAGGACUGCCCCAAUUGGGGCCAAAACCAGGACAGACUGAACUUUGAGCAGCAGCAGCAAUGGUCGCAACCGGACUGAAAAGGAGGAGGGCAGGACCCCAGGGCACGCUUCAGGCCGUGGUUUACCCAAAACACCAGAACAGGAAAGUGAUAAACACGCCAACAUACAAACAUACACAUCUACACACACUGACUCAAAAUGAAGAGAAACACACACCUGAACAGACGUGCACUUGUUGAUUGAGUGAGAAAUGACACACACACACAUCAGACAAUGUACACUCAUCAAACAUGACUGAUGCCCUGAACGCCUUGAGACAGAUCCAGCAGGCCCAAAAUCAGGCCUAUGUAA
ensembl:lncRNA